AUGAACGCUGGCGGCGUGCCUAAUACAUGCAAGUCGAGCGAACAGACGAGGAGCUUGCUCCUCUGACGUUAGCGGCGGACGGGUGAGUAACACGUGGAUAACCUACCUAUAAGACUGGGAUAACUUCGGGAAACCGGAGCUAAUACCGGAUAAUAUAUUGAACCGCAUGGUUCAAUAGUGAAAGACGGUUUUGCUGUCACUUAUAGACGGAUCCGCGCCGCAUUAGCUAGUUGGUAAGGUAACGGCUUACCAAGGCAACGAUGCGUAGCCGACCUGAGAGGGUGAUCGGCCACACUGGAACUGAGACACGGUCCAGACUCCUACGGGAGGCAGCAGUAGGGAAUCUUCCGCAAUGGGCGAAAGCCUGACGGAGCAACGCCGCGUGAGUGAUGAAGGUCUACGGAUCGUAAAACUCUGUUAUUAGGGAAGAACAAAUGUGUAAGUAACUAUGCACGUCUUGACGGUACCUAAUCAGAAAGCCACGGCUAACUACGUG
rnacentral:rRNA from 1 species